CAGAACCCCAAGCACGCAGGACAUGCUGGAUGGGAAAGCAGGGAGGACUGCAAAGAGUCGGACGCGACUGAAGCGACCUGGCACGCACAAAAGCACGACCAGGCUGGCAUAUUUCAGAAGCGCAGCGACUGCCAAGAAGAAAGACAAGCACUCCUGGCCCAUCCCGGCGAAGCUGCGGGAGAACCCAGGCAGGAGGGACGGGGCUGCAGCGGGGCCCAUCAAGCUGGGUGCAAGGUUCUUGGGCCACAGUGAAAGGUGGUGACGGGUUUCAGUGGCACAGAAGGAGCGGGGAGUGUGACCGUCAGCCCCAAAGGCACUGCGGCACGGCAGAAGGAUGCGGGGGUCGCCUCUGGAGCCCGGACACAGGGUCGCCUGAUGGCGGUGGGUGCAGAUUCGUCACAUGGUGAUAAGGAAACAAGAGCUGUAUAAUCUUCUGUCUCCAGCACUGGUUGAGAUCGACGUUCAGUCCGCGGGAAUCUGAGUGUGCCCUCGCCAGGGUGCCCGCCUCGCCCACCUGCUGGCUCGUCUCGGCCUGCCGCUCUUGCUUAUCUGGCCCACAGAGCAGACCUCGUCCUGCCUCCCUGCAGGGAUAAUCAUGUUCCUUUCCUCUGGCGUUUUCUUGCUGUCUUGAUCAGCUCACAAAUGUUUCUUAUCACUCUCCGUCUUCAUUCGCAUAUUUGAACAAUGUAAAAAUGGCCCCCCAUGUUCACAUGGAGUGUUUUUUUGCUAUAAACUCAAUGUUUCUUG
ensembl:lncRNA